rnacentral:tRNA from 4 species
UGCGGGGUAGAGCAGUUGGUAGCUCGUCGGGCUCAUAACCCGGAGGUCGUAGGUUCGAGUCCUACCCCCGCUA